rnacentral:rRNA from 1 species
AAGGGCACCACAAGAACGCGUGGAGCAUGUGGCUUAAUUUGACUCAACGCGGGAAAUCUUACCGGGUCCGGACACACUGAGGAUUGACAGGCAAUAUUAUUUAAAUGAACUUCGGUUUGUUUUUAUAUGUAAAUAUGCUAGUCCUUUCAUGAUUAUGUGAUAGGUGGUGCAUGGCCGUUCUUAGUUCGUGGAGUGAUCUGUCUGCUUAAUUGCGUUUCACUAAGAGCUUAUAUAUAAACGUAUGUUUGCUCUCAUAUUUGACCCCCGUUUGAUUUUUCUUCUUCGGAGGAUUUCAUUGAACGUGUGUGUUGUCAUUUGUGUUUCAAGCAUCAUACAAUUAAGCUCUGAAAGCAACGAACGUGACCGCAACCUCUUGUUGCCUCUAAUUUAAUUUUUUUUUUCCUUCGGGAAGAGAGAAUGCAAAAGAGGCUUUAAAACUAGAGGGACCGCUGUAACUUUUUUAAACCAGAGGGAGGUUGCGGCAAUAACAGGUCUGUGAUGCCCUUAGAUGUUCCGGGCUGCACACGUGCUACAAUGAUUGUUGCAGUGAGCAUCUCAAAUAAACACCGUGGUCAAGCUAAUUUGGUGUACUUUGAUUGUUUGAUGGUCGAUUUCGGUUGAUCGUUGGACUUUCUUUGUUAUCCUUAUUCAGUCAGACUCGGUUAAGCCUGCUUCGAAAGUAAGUAGGUAAUCAAUCCGAAGUAACGAUUUCCCAACUUUAGCACACCUAUAUGCGGCGUUUAUACCCUGGCAUUUGCUUGUCAAGUGUUUUUGUGUGUAUAGAUGUUUUCUGCAUGUGCUUUUGUCAAUUCAAGGUGGGGACAAACCAUUGUUAAUUGUUGGUUUCGGUCUUAACUAGGAAUGCCUUGUACGGGUCUUUGGUUCAACAAACCACCCGGAAUACGUCCCUGCCCUUUGUACACACCGCCCGUCGCUCUUACCGAUGGACUUAUCUGUGAGUUUGAGGGACUGGAUAUUUAACUUUCGAGUUAAUCUUCUAUGGAAACUUAAACGAACAGGUUGGUCUAAAGGAAAGAGAAGUCGAACAAGGCA